AUACGUAGGGUGCGAGCGUUGUCCGGAAUUACUGGGCGUAAAGAGCUCGUAGGUGGUUUGUCGCGUCGUCUGUGAAAUUCCGGGGCUUAACUCCGGGCGUGCAGGCGAUACGGGCAUAACUUGAGUACUGUAGGGGAGACUGGAAUUCCUGGUGUAGCGGUGAAAUGCGCAGAUAUCAGGAGGAACACCGGUGGCGAAGGCGGGUCUCUGGGCAGUAACUGACGCUGGGGAGCGAAAGCAUGGGUAGCGAACAGGAUUAGAUACCCUGGUAGUCCAUGCCGUAAACGGUGGGCGCUAGGUGUAGGGGUCUUCCACGACUUCUGUGCCGUAGCUAACGCAUUAAGCGCCCCGCCUGGGGAGUACGGCCGCAAGGCUAAAACUCAAAUGAAUUGACGGGG
rnacentral:rRNA from 1 species